GACGAACGCUGGCGGCGUGCUUAACACAUGCAAGUCGAACGGAAAGGCCCUGCUUGCCGGGUACUCGAGUGGCGAACGGGUGAGUAACACGUGGGUGAUCUGCCCUGCACUUCGGGAUAAGCCUGGGAAACUGGGUCUAAUACAGGAUAGGAGCCAUUCUUAGUGUGAUGGUUGGAAAGUUUUUUCGGUGUAGGAUGAGCUCGCGGCCUAUCAGCUUGUUGGUGGGGUAAUGGCCUACCAAGGCGGCGACGGGUAGCCGGCCUGAGAGGGUGGACGGCCACAUUGGGACUGAGAUACGGCCCAGACUCCUACGGGAGGCAGCAGGUGGGAAUAUUGCACAAUAGGCGCAAGCCUGAUGCAGCGACGCCGCGUGGUGGAGGACGGCCUUCGGGUUGUAAACUCCUUUCGCUAGGGACGAAGCUUUUUGUGACGGUACCUAGAAAAGAAGCACCGGCUAGCUACGUG
rnacentral:rRNA from 1 species